UGCAGAAGGCAAAAAACUGCGCAGGAGAUUAUUAAUACAAUAGUAUUAUAUCAACCAAGCCUGAUGUCGGUAGCUUCUUCAAUGAAUGCAGCAGUGUGACAGCCAGCAAUCAAUAGUGACAAGAAUCUAGGAAAUACAGAAGGCAAAGAAGCAGAUGUCAUCAAAAAAGAUCUUUGUUCCUGCAAUGUUUCCGCAGACGAUACAUCCAACAGAGCGAAGUGGAAGGAAAAGACUCGGAAAAAGACCCCACCACCAUAUGGGAACAAUGCAAGGGAGAGAGAGAGAAUAUAAUGUUAUAUUUUUAUUUUUUGAUAACAUAAAAUAAACCAACAAUAUGCUA